AGGGAUGACCCAGCGGAUAGGGGGCCGGUCUCCAAAACCGGCGGAAUGCGCGUUCGACCCGCGCCGUCCCUGCCA
rnacentral:tRNA from 1 species